rnacentral:rRNA from 1 species
GAUGAACGCUAGCGGAAGGCUUAAUACAUGCAAGUCAACUGAACUUAAGAUAGCAAUAUUUCAAGGGAGGUGGCGCACGGGUGAGUAACACGUAGGUAAUCUGCCUUUAGGUCUGACAUAAUUCCGCGAAAGCGGGACUAACUUCAGAUGAUGCAGCGGCUCGACAUCGAGACAGUUGUUAAAUCUUCGGAGCCUAAAGAUGAGCCUGCGUCUGAUUAGGUAGUUGGCGGAGUAAAGCCCACCAAGCCUGCGAUCAGUAGCUGGUCUGAGAGGAUGAUCAGCCACACUGGAACUGAGACACGGUCCAGACUCCUACGGGAGGCAGCAGUAAGGAUAUUGCUCAAUGGCCGAAAGGCUGAAGCAGCAACGCCGCGUGGAGGAUGAAAUACUUUUGUAUGUAAACUCCU